rnacentral:ncRNA from 1 species
GAUUACAUUAUCUUCUUCUUUGUGAUCGCGGCUG